rnacentral:lncRNA from 1 species
AUAUUUGCGGUAAUUUUAUUGUGAAAAAUUAGUUAUUUUCAAAUAUUGGGAAUUAUUAGAGUUUUUGAAAAAUUCUGAAAUUGUGAUAUAAAUUCAAGUAUAUUAAUGUUUGAAUUUCCGAAAUUUUGUUGGUAUAUUUUCGGGAAUUUUAAUGUGAAAAUUUUAUUUUAUUGGGUUAUUGAGAAUGUUGAAAUUAUUGGAAUUGUAGAAAUUAUUAAGGAAUUUUGG